rnacentral:lncRNA from 1 species
CGUGCCUACUGUUUUUAUAUUUGAGGCCAAUCUCAAAAUAAAAUUCUAAGAACGUCUCCCACUGACCCGGAAGUACAUUGGGUUAAAUGGAACAAAAUUCUUCCUAAAUGAAAAAAAAACUUUUCUACAUAAAUGAAAAACAAAAUCCUUUCUAAAUGAAAAACGCAAAAGUACGUCUUUUUUUCAACCAGCGAUUUCUUUUCGCUCACUGUCCCUUGCGGGGCUCCGUAGUUCUGUACCAUAGCGCAUGUUAACUGACGCUGAAACGUUCGCGAUGAACACCAAAAUACUUCUUCGGGGAAGUACAUGAAACAAUGAUCUCUACUCCAAGUCUGACAUCCAGACAGCAUGGCAACACAAUGAAGCAGCAUCAGUUAGACCCAGCCCCUGAAAAUUGUCUUCAUCAAACCAGCUAACUCCGCUAGGCCAUUUCACGGUACCCAGACAUGGACCCAGGCAUUGGCAUCCGGGCUCACGUGGACCUCUCGACGGUGAAGGAGGACCCUCACCACAGUAGCCCAUUGAAUAACCGGCACCGGCUGAACGUGAAGAAGCCCUGUGGUGCACAACACAGCAAUUCUCUGUGGCAUGUUCCGGAGAAGGUGACUCAGGAACAUCAGUGCUCCACCCAACAUAGAGACGCCGUCUUUGGGUCAGAAGACGCCGAAAGCCAUUUCAUCCAGGAAGAUGGGAAACUGGGCUCUGUGUCAAACCUUAAAAAAAGGUUGAUGGACAGAGAGAGGCAGCGGCGUCACCGGGAGAGGAUCCGUGCGGACCCAGAGAAGCAGCAGGCACACCGUGAGAGGGAGAGACAAAGGUACCAACGCAGGAAGAGUAUGGUCAGUGCUGUACCAGAGCAGAUGCCAUCAGAAUCCCAGAGCCAUGGCCUGAGUGACUCAGAGUAUCAGACAGAGCCAACCACGGAGGAUCACGAUCAUCCAAAGCACUAUGCCUUUCCAGACAUUUCCCAGAAUUUGGAUACGGAAACGGGCAGGAUGGCUCACAUGGACAGCAUGGUGAUGAAAUGGCCCACUCCUGAGGCAGAUGUUGUUGACUUCAGGCGGCAGAUCAAAGAGAUGAACCCGGCCAGCCGUCUGUCGCAUGUUACGGAAAAAGAGACUCAGGAACACGUAUUCUCUACCCAACACAGAGGCGCCGUGUUUGGGUCACAGGAUGUCGGCUGUUAUUUUGUACAACAAAAUGGGGAACUGUGUUCACUUUCGAGGCUUAAAAAGAGGUUGAUGGACCGAGAGCGACAGCGACGCUACAGGGAAAGGAUCCGAUCCAACCCUAUGAAGCAAUCGGACGACGAGAAGGAAAGACGAAGGUUCAUGGACAGAGAGAGGCAGCGGCGUCGCAGGGAGAGGAUGCGUUCUGAGCCUGACAAGCAGCAGGCUUAUGCAGAGCGGGAGAGACAAAGGUUGUUGGACAGAGAACGGCAACGACGGUGCAGACAGAGGCUUCAAGCGGACCCUGUGAGGUGGCAAGCUUACCUGGAGAAGGAAAGGCACAGGUACACUCCACCACCAAACACCAUCAACAACACAGAAUGAUGCAUUGACAUGAAGCUAAAUGGCCAAAUUGUUUCCGCUGUGUACAUAAACGAUAGCUUUUAAUGUGUUCAGCAUUUGGGAAAUGCCAUUAACUUCAUAUUUCAAACAUCCAAACUUCAUGUCUGUUGUGUGGAUAUUAUCUUGAUACAGUAUUUGUCUUCAUAGGUCCAGAGAGGCGGCCAGGAGAAGGCGCGCAAAAAAGUCCCUGGCCAAGGCCCUAACUGGCUGGAUAUCAGAGUGGGGUCAGGACAGCCUGUGAGACAGCAGGAGAAGAUUAACUUUGACCUCUAAUGAUCCCCUCUGGCGAAGGGAGCGAGGAGUCGCCUAACCCAGCCUCAUCUCAACCUCACCUGGCCAUGACGCCAGAGACAGACUUGUUGGUGGGACGUUCAUACCAGGCACUCGACCGAACUGACAGACAAAGACUCCAUCACAGAGUUUCUUAGCAGUGCAACCCAGACACAAAACAGCCCUGCCCUGCUCAGGAGUUAAUACUGCCAAAGAUGAUCGUCCUUUUUUCUUUCUUUGUGUUUUUUCUCGUCUUUGCUCUGAGGUGGGCUGUAGUUCUGAAUCAUUCUUCAGAUGUGCUGACGUAUUAUUGAGGUGUUCUCAGAUGUCUAUUGUUUGCAGUUGAGGUGUCAUUGGAAUUUGUGAUGUGCUCACGUUGAAUUUGGUCUUUCAAUGUCUUACUGGCAGAGAGGAGGUUUGUUUUGUCAUGGAAAAAGGCGAUGUCACAUGUUCUCCUAUGGGUUCUGGUGUUUGGCCAGAGGGGAAUAUGCAUAUGCCCACAAAGCACCAGAUACGUAUCAGGAUUGAUUCUCCUGUCUUUAGUGACGAAAUAUAAUUGCUCACUAUCUGGUUUUUUUUUUUUUAUUGGUUAUCAGAACUGUUGUCAUCGACAUUGCAAAUAAAUGUAGCUAUUUGAUGUGAAAGUUGAUGUUU